AUUGAACGCUGGCGGCAGGCCUAACACAUGCAAGUCGAGCGAGCGGCGGACGGGUGAGUAAUGUCUGGGAAACUGCCUGAUGGAGGGGGAUAACUACUGGAAACGGUAGCUAAUACCGCAUACCAUCAGAUGUGCCCAGAUGGGAUUAGCUAGUAGGUGGGGUAACGGCUCACCUAGGCGACGCUCCCUUGCUGGGCUGAGAGGAUGACCAGCCAAACUGGAGCUGAUACACGGUCCAGCCUCCUACGGGAGGCAUCAGUGGGGAAUAUUGCACAAUGGGCGCAAGCCUGAUGCAGCCAAGCCGCGUGUGUGAAGAAAGCCUUCGGAUUGGAAAGCACUUUCAGCGGGGAGGCGUUACCCGCAGAAGAAGCACCGGCUAACUCCGUGCCAGCCGCCGCGGUAAUAC
rnacentral:rRNA from 1 species